CCCGGUGGAAAAACCUGAAAGUAGGCUUUGAUGCGCCCAAGGUCAACUGCUACCGACUCUUGCACGUCCCGGCCGGUGUUGUUUAGCUCUUCACUCCCAGACACCGCCGAACUGGCCUCACCGCCGCGACUAGUACCUAGUGCAAGUUUUCCUGAAGCUUAUCGGAACGUGUAGUUCUGUUGCGUCCUGCUGAAAGUCUGAACGUGUAGUCGCCGGAAGUACUGUAGCAUGCCGGAAAUCCUCGCUGGAAAAAUAAGGCACCUGUCCAAGAAAACAGAACACACCCACAAAAAUCAGAAUAGAGAAUAGGAAGAAAAGAGCAGGGGUCGGGGGAAAAUCGCCAGCGAAAAGCAAGAAUUCAAAAAACCUAGAAAACUCGAAAUGAAACAAGCUUCAGAUAGCCAAGGCUAAAUCGGACACACUUGUGGGAUGAAAAUAAAGAGCGGAAAAUUGAAUAUAGAAAGCAGUAGCAGAUGAAUCCAAGUUUAAUAAAGCAGCAUAGGUAGUAGCAAGAAGAACAGCAGUAGCAACAGAGCAACAACAAAAUAAGAGGAUAUUGGGCUGAAUCAACCUCUUAAUAGCAGAAACAGUAAGCCAAAAAUAAAAUAAAACUAUUUUCUGUUUCAAAAUCUACUUUGACAUGCAAGAAAAGGGAAGAAAUCAGUGUGAAAUAAAGAAAUCUUUUCCUAGAAUUCCUUAUGUAUUUCAAAGAUUCCUUUUAAAUGAAUAUCCUGAAACCUUUAUAAUCAGCUUAUAAAUGUCAAAAACUUUAAAGUAAAUCACCAAAUCUGGAAGCAAUAGCGUAAAAAGUGACAAAAAUUCUGCUUGCUACAGUAAUUUCGCGAAAUGAAAAUUAAGAUCCUAAUCAAUUGGUUAUAGAUUUGCGGAUAAAAUCAAUUGGGGUUUGUGCGCAAUGAGAAGAUGCUUCUUUUGACACCAAGUUUUCGAAAUCCACCACCGGACGUUGGAGUUAUGUAUUUGAGGAUAAAAUCAAUUGGGGUUUGUGCGCAAUGAGAAGAUGCUUCCUUUGACAUCAAGUUUUUGAAAAUC
rnacentral:lncRNA from 1 species